GUAGUCAUAUGCUUGUCUCAAAGAUUAAGCCAUGCAUGUCUAAGUAUAAGCAAUCAUACUGUGAAACUGCGAAUGGCUCAUUAUAUCAGUUAUCGUUUAUUUGAUAGUACCUUACUACUUGGAUAACCGUGGUAAUUCUAGAGCUAAUACAUGCUACAAACCCCGACUUCGGAAGGGGUGUAUUUAUUAGAUAAAAAACCAAUGCCCUUUGGGCUCUGUGGUGAUUCAUAAUAACUUUUCGAAUCGCAUGGCCUUGCGCCGGCGAUGGUUCAUUCAAAUUUCUGCCCUAUCAACUUUCGAUGGUAGGAUAGUGGCCUACCAUGGUUUCCACGGGUAACGGGGAAUUAGGGUUCUAUUCCGGAGAGGGAGCCUGAGAAACGGCUACCACAUCCAAGGAAGGCAGCAGGCGCGCAAAUUACCCAAUCCCGAUUCGGGGAGGUAGUGACAAUAAAUACUGAUGCAGGGCUCUUUUGGGUCUUGCAAUUGGAAUGAGUACAAUCUAAAUCCCUUAACGAGGAACAAUUGGAGGGCAAGUCUGGUGAACCUCAGUACUGCUGACGCCAGAGAUAGUGGGACGGUCCGCCGUUACGCCCACUAGUCGAGCAUCCGACCGUGAUGGGUGGAUGCCGGCGAGACAACCUGGAUCGGGGAAGGCUAAGGGUUCUCACAGAGAGCCUAUGCUGAUCCCGAGCGGAGUCGCAAGACCCGUGUAGAGCGCGCCAAGGUGUCGGUCGCUUCGGCGGCUUAAGGGACGUGCCUUCCCAUGGGAAACCAUGCCGAACACUGGAGCACCCAUCAUGCAAAGGUGUCGGACGCACAGCGUGGACAGUAGGCCAGCAGCCGCGGUAAUUCCAGCUCCAAUAGCGUAUAUUAAAGUUGUUGCAGUUAAAAAGCUCGUAGUUGAACCUUGGGCCUGGCUGGUCGGUCCGCCUCACCGCGUGCACUGAUCCGGCCGGGCCUUUCCUCCUGGGGAGCCGCAUGCCCUUCACUGGGUGUGUCGGGGAACCAGGACUUUUACUUUGAAAAAAUUAGAGUGUUCAAAGCAGGCCUUCGCUCGAAUACAUUAGCAUGGAAUAAUAGAAUAGGACGCGCGGUUCUAUUUUGUUGGUUUCUAGGACCGCCGUAAUGAUUAAUAGGGAUAGUCGGGGGCAUCAGUAUUCAAUUGUCAGAGGUGAAAUUCUUGGAUUUAUUGAAGACUAACUACUGCGAAAGCAUUUGCCAAGGAUGUUUUCAUUAAUCAGUGAACGAAAGUUAGGGGAUCGAAGACGAUCAGAUACCGUCGUAGUCUUAACCAUAAACUAUGCCGACUAGGGAUCGGGCGAUGUUAUCUUUUGACUCGCUCGGCACCUUACGAGAAAUCAAAGUCUUUGGGUUCUGGGGGGAGUACGUCAGCAAUGAUGAAACUUAAAGAAAUUGACGGAAGGGCACCACCAGGAGUAAACGCGCGCAGCACUCUGCUCCAGAAAGCCACUCGAAAGAGUUGUGGUGCCUGUGGCUAGUGGUCUCAGACCGCGACACCCUCAAAUUGCGGGAAACCCCUUAAGCUUCUGCUACCGCAGCGGCGCCGCGAGGCGUCGUGCGCACCAGGGUAAUGACCUCGGGGAUGGUAACAACGCAGAAGAUUGGGCAAUCCGCAGCCAAGCUCCCCCGCGGAGAAGGUUCAGAGACUUGAUGGGGGUGGGUUGUCGAACGACGGCUUAAGAUAAAGUCCGGCUCCACGCGAAAGCGUGGAGGUUGUGGGAGCCUGCGGCUUAAUUUGACUCAACACGGGGAAACUCACCAGGUCCAGACAUGAAAAGGAUUGACAGAUUGAGAGCUCUUUCUUGAUCUCAUGGGUGGUGGUGCAUGGCCGUUCUUAGUUGGUGGAGUGAUUUGUCUGCUUAAUUGCGAUAACGAACGAGACCUUAACCUGCUAAAUAGCCCGGUUCGCUUUGGCGGAUCGCUGGCUUCUUAGAGGGACUAUCGGCUCAAGCCGAUGGAAGUUUGAGGCAAUAACAGGUUAACUCACAGGCCUGUAAAAGUGGGAAUACUGCUAGUCCAGCGUCACCUCUGUGGGGAAGUCCCCGAGCCGGGCAGAGGCGUCUUUUGACGAACGCGGGCGACACCACCUGGUACAGGGAACGCCGUCAGGCCGAUCCUGUGGCGAGCUUGGUCACGACAAGCCGUCGCAACGUGCGGAAAGGGGUGGGCUCUUCGGAGCUUGAGGUACGUACUAAUCCCUGGGGCAACCCAGCUCUCGCGAUGAGGCCCGGCGGCCGAGGCGCGAGGGGGACGACGCGUCGUCUGGUCCACAUGCUGUGAUGCCCUUAGAUGUUCUGGGCCGCACGCGCGCUACACUGACAGAGCCAACGAGUGUCUUCCUUGUCCGAAAGGUCUGGGUAAUCUUGUUAAACUCUGUCGUGCUGGGGAUAGAGCAUUGCAAUUAUUGCUCUUCAACGAGGAAUUCCUAGUAAGCGCAAGUCAUCAGCUUGCGUUGAUUAUGUCCCUGCCCUUUGUACACACCGCCCGUCGCUACUACCGAUUGAAUGGCUCAGUGAGGCCUUCGGACUGGCUCCAGGAGGUCGGCAACGACCACCCAGAGCCGGAAAGUUGGUCAAAGUUGGUCAUUAGAGGAAG
rnacentral:rRNA from 1 species